rnacentral:rRNA from 1 species
UACGUAGGGGGCAAGCGUUGUCCGGAAUCAUUGGGCGUAAAGAGCGUGUAGGCGGCCCGAUAAGUCCGCUGUGAAAGUCCAGGGCUCAACCCUGGAAUGCCGGUGGAUACUGUCGGGCUCGAAUCCGGAAGAGGUGAGUGGAAUUCCUGGUGUAGCGGUGAAAUGCGCAGAUAUCAGGAAGAACAUCGGUGGCGAAGGCGCUUUGCUGGACCAUAACUGACACUCAGGGACGAAAGCUAGGGGAGCGAAUGGG